rnacentral:rRNA from 1 species
GAUGAACGCUGGCGGCGUGCCUAAUUCAUGCAAGUAGAACGCUGAAGGAGGAGCUUGCUCUUCUGGAUGAGUUGCGAACGGGUGAGUAACGCGUAGGUAACCUGCCUGGUAGCGGGGGAUAACUAUUGGAAACGAUAGCUAAUACCGCAUGACAACAGUUAUUGCAUGAUAACUGUUUAAAAGGGGCAACUGCUCCACUACCAGAUGGACCUGCGUUGUAUUAGCUAGUUGGUGAGGUAACGGCUCACCAAGGCGACGAUACAUAGCCGACCUGAGAGGGUGAUCGGCCACACUGGGACUGAGACACGGCCCAGACUCCUACGGGAGGCAGCAGUAGGGAAUCUUCGGCAAUGGACGGAAGUCUGACCGAGCAACGCCGCGUGAGUGAAGAAGGUUUUCGGAUCGUAAAGCUCUGUUGUAAGAGAAGAACGAGUGUGAGAGUGGAAAGUUCACACUGUGACGGUAUCUUACCAGAAAGGGACGGCUAACUACGUG